AAAAGAAAAUCAAGGCGAAUAGCCGUAUAUUUAUUCAAAUAAAUAAAUUGUACAAUACAAAUAUUAGAAAGAGACAAAGAGUACAUAAUCUAGGUAUUGAAUAUUAAUUAUUGUACUAACAAUUGAAACUCUUUUUAAAUUCUUUUCGUAACUUUUGUAUCAUUUCAAAAGAAACAUUUUUUGGAACUUGUAUUUGUCGUUCUUCUUCCAUUGCUUCCAUACCAUCAUCACUAUUAUCACCAAAUAUUUCAUCUAUUUCGUCUUCUAUUUGGCUAUUUAAUUGUGGUAGUCCGGUAUUUCUUCUUUCGGCAUUGACCCAAUCUCGAAACAACACCGAUAUUUCCAAACUAUCCUUUGCUAAUGAAUAUCGAUGAUCUCCAAUCAUAAAUCUCGCCGCACUAAAGGCUUGCUCCGAAGAGAUCGAUGAUGCUUGAAUCGCUAGCACAUCUCGAACAAUCCUAGCAAGGGUCGAAAAUUUGAUUUUCACGAUUCUUCCACCAUACUAAUAUUGGAGCUUGAAGUUGUC
rnacentral:lncRNA from 1 species